UACGGAGGGGGCAAGCGUUAUCCGGAUUCACUGGGUUUAAAGGGUGCGUAGGCGGAUUAGUAAGUCCGUGGUGAAAUCUCCGAGCUUAACUCGGAAACUGCCAUGGAUACUAUUAAUCUUGAAUGUUGUGGAGGUUAGCGGAAUAUGUCAUGUAGCGGUGAAAUGCUUAGAUAUGACAUAGAACACCAAUUGCGAAGGCAGCUGGCUACACAAAUAUUGACGCUGAGGCACGAAAGCGUGGGGAUCAAACAGG
rnacentral:rRNA from 1 species